ACCUUAUACAAAUGUGUUAACUGCAAGACAAGUUAGCAUUUCCCUGUAAGGUGGUGUUAAGUAGAAGCUUUAAUGACAAAUGUUAUUGCGUGGCUUUUAAAGUUGAAAUAGUAUGAGUUAAGGUGGAGUAGGUUAACCGUAAGACCUUGAAUUGUAAAAUUCUAAAAUCAAUCUCAAAGUUAUUCCUUUUGAGUUACGGUAAG
ncrna:unclassified sequences IS605-orfB-I RNA